rnacentral:rRNA from 1 species
AUGAACGCUAGCUACAGGCUUAACACAUGCAAGUCGAGGGGCAGCAUGGUCUUAGCUUGCUAAGGCCGAUGGCGACCGGCGCACGGGUGAGUAACACGUAUCCAACCUGCCGUCUACUCUUGGACAGCCUUCUGAAAGGAAGAUUAAUACAAGAUGGCAUCAUGAGUCCACAUGUUCACAUGAUUAAAGGUAUUCCGGUAGACGAUGGGGAUGCGUUCCAUUAGAUAGUAGGCGGGGUAACGGCCCACCUAGUCUUCGAUGGAUAGGGGUUCUGAGAGGAAGGUCCCCCACAUUGGAACUGAGGCACGGUCCAAACUCCUACGGGAGGCAGCAGUGAGGAAUAUUGGUCAAUGGGCGAGAGCCUGAACCAGCCAAGUAGCGUGAAGGAUGACUGCCCUAUGGGUUGUAAACUUCUUUUAUAAAGGAAUAAAGUCGGGUAUGCAUACCCGUUUGCAUGUACUUUAUGAAUAAGGAUCGGCUAACUCCGUGCCAGCAGCCGCGGUAAUACGGAGGAUCCGAGCGUUAUCCGGAUUUAUUGGGUUUAAAGGGAGCGUAGAUGGAUGUUUAAGUCAGUUGUGAAAGUUUGCGGCUCAACCGUAAAAUUGCAGUUGAUACUGGAUAUCUUGAGUUCAGUUGAGGCAGGCGGAAUUCGUGGUGUAGCGGUGAAAUGCUUAGAUAUCACGAAGAACUCCGAUUGCGAAGGCAGCCUGCUAAGCUGCAACUGACAUUGAGGCUCGAAAGUGUGGGUAUCAAACAGGAUUAGAUACCCUGGUAGUCCACACGGUAAACGAUGAAUACUCGCUGUUUGCGAUAUACAGCAAGCGGCCAAGCGAAAGCGUUAAGUAUUCCACCUGGGGAGUACGCCGGCAACGGUGAAACUCAAAGGAAUUGACGGGGGCCCGCACAAGCGGAGGAACAUGUGGUUUAAUUCGAUGAUACGCGAGGAACCUUACCCGGGCUUAAAUUGCAGAUGAAUUACGGUGAAAGCCGUAAGCCGCAAGGCAUCUGUGAAGGUGCUGCAUGGUUGUCGUCAGCUCGUGCCGUGAGGUGUCGGCUUAAGUGCCAUAACGAGCGCAACCCUUGUUGUCAGUUACUAACAGGUUCCGCUGAGGACUCUGACAAGACUGCCAUCGUAAGAUGUGAGGAAGGUGGGGAUGACGUCAAAUCAGCACGGCCCUUACGUCCGGGGCUACACACGUGUUACAAUGGGGGGUACAGAGGGCCGCUACCACGCGAGUGGAUGCCAAUCCCCAAAACCUCUCUCAGUUCGGACUGGAGUCUGCAACCCGACUCCACGAAGCUGGAUUCGCUAGUAAUCGCGCAUCAGCCACGGCGCGGUGAAUACGUUCCCGGGCCUUGUACACACCGCCCGUCAAGCCAUGGGAGCCGGGGGUACCUGAAGUGCGUAACCGCGAGGAGCGCCCUAGGGUAAAACUGGUGACUGGGGCU